rnacentral:tRNA from 3 species
AGGGGUGUAGUAUAAUGGUAGUGCAUUGGUCUCCAAAACCAAUUGUGGGAGUUCGAUCCUCUCCACCCCUGCCA